ACCCAUUAUUUUCACAGGGAAUCAUGAGUUUCAUUGGAUGCAAAAACCUGCACUAUGGGCAAAGUAAGGUAGCAUUUUAUAUCUGCUCAUUGGUCUUAAGAGAUAUCCAGGACUAAUAGUAGUUUGAUUCAGCCAGCAUGGAUGUUCUCCCCAUCUCUGUUGCUGUGCAAUUUCACCAUGCAAGGCAGACAUCAACCACCUCCAAUCAAUUCUGGGCGAGUCUAAGCUCUUUGCACAAUCAGGUGCUGAAGACUUUACCUGGUGGAACCUCUCUACAGGACAUGUUAUUAUCCUUUCAAAUGUUUAAUUUUAAAAAAUUUAGAUUUUAUUUUUGUACAAUUUUAAGUGUUGGAAUAAACCGAAAGAUGGGAUACAAAUUUAGUGAUUAAUGAAUUAAUAAAGAGUUUAU